rnacentral:ncRNA from 1 species
GCUCAUUAAAUCAGUUAUGGUUCAUUUGAUCGUACAGUUUACUUGGAUAACUGUGGUAAUUCUAGAGCUAAUACAUGCGAGAAGCGCCGACCUCGCGGGAGGCGUGCAUUUAUCAGACCAAAAACCGGCCGCGUCUUCGGGCGCGUUCGCCUUGGUGACUCUGGAUAACUUUGCGGAUCGCACGGUCUAGCACCGGCGACGGAUCAUUCAAGUGUCUGCCCUAUCAACUUUCGUCGGUACGGUAUUUGCCUACCGAGGUUCUUACGGGUGACGGGGAAUCAGGGUUCGAUUCCGGAGAGGGAGCCUGAGAAACGGCUACCACAUCCAAGGAAGGCAGCAGGCGCGCAAAUUACCCAUUCCCGACGCGGGGAGGUAGUGACGAAAAAUAACAAUGCAGGACUCGUUCGAGGCCCUGUAAUUGGAAUGAGUACACUUUAAAAGCUUUAACGAGUAUCCAUUGGAGGGCAAGUCUGGUGCCAGCAGCCGCGGUAAUUCCAGCUCCAAAAGUAUAUAUUUAAGUUGUUGCGGUUAAAAAGCUCGUAGUUGGAUUUUGGGCGCAGGCGGCCGGUCCGUCGCAAGUCGUGUACUGGACGUCCUGGCCUUCCCUCCGGUUCUCCGCCGGUGCUCUUGACUGAGUGUCGGCGGCGGCCGGAACGUUUACUUUGAAA